GUUUCAGAGGAUGUGGUGGAGUCUGUGGAGGUCUCCUGGGAGGUGGUGGAGGUUAUUGUGGAGGUCACUGGAGUGGUGGUGAGGCCUGUGGUGGUCCCUGGAGCUGUACUGGAGGCCGUGGAGGUCUCAGCUGAGGUGUUGGAGGCUGCUGUGGAGGUCUCGGGGGUUGUAGUGAGUUUUGUGGAGGUCCCAGGAGUGGUUGAGUAGAAAGUGGAGGUCUCUGAGGAGGAGGUGGAUGCCGUGGUAGAGGUCCCUGGAGUGGAGGUGAGACCUGUGGAGGUUCCUGGAGCUGUACUGGAGGCUGUGGUGGUCUCAGCUGAUGUGGUGGAGGCCACAGUGGAGGUCAUGGAGGUUGUACUGAGUCCUGUGGAGGUUCCUGGAGUGGUUGAGGACACAGUGGAGUUCUCUGAGGAGGUGGUGGAGGCCGUGGUAGUGGACGCUGGAGUAGAGGUCAGGCCUGUGGAGGUUCCUGCUGUUGUACUGGAAGCGGUGGAGGUCUCAACUGAGGUGGUGGAGGCUGCUGUGGAGGUCACGACGGUUGAUGUGAGUCCUGUGGAGGUCCCUGGAGUGGUUGAGGAGGCUGUGGAGGUCUCUUGGGAGGUGGUGGAGGCCGUGGUAGUGGACGCUGGAGUAGAGGUCAGGCCUGUGGAGGUUCCUGCUGUUGUACUGGAAGCGGUGGAGGUCUCAACUGAGGUGGUGGAGGCCACAGUGGAGGUCCCCAAAGUGGAGGUGAGGCCUGUGGAUGUUGCUGGAGUUGUGCUGGAGACAGUGGAGGUCUCACCAGAGGUUGUGGAGGAUGAUGUGGAGGUCACCAGAGUGGAGGUGAGGCCAGUGGAAGUGCCUGGAGUUGUACUGGAGGCUGUGGAGGUCUCAGAAGACAUGGUCGAGGCUGAUGUGGAGGUCAAAGGAGUGGAAGUGAGGCCUGUGGAGGUGCCUGGAGUUGUUGAGGAGGCCGUGGAGGUCUCAGAAGAUGUGGUGGAGGCCACAGUGGAGGACACAGAUGUGGAUGUGAGGCCAGUGGAGGUGCCUGGAGUUGUACUGGAGGCCGUGGAGGUCUCUGGGGAGGUCGUAGAGGCCACAGUCGAGGUCAGGAUUGUUGAAGUGAGGCCUGUGGAGGUCUCCAGAGUAGUGGUGGAGGCUGUGAAGGUCUCAGCUGAGGUGGUGGAGGCUGCUGGAGAGGUCAUCGUAGUUGAAAUCAGGCCUGAAGUGGUCCCUGAAGUGGAGGCCGAGGCCAUGGAGGUCUCAGAGGACGUGGUGGAGGCCGUUGUGGAGGUCACAGGUGUGGGGGUGAGGCCUGUGGAGGUUCCUGGAGUUGUACUGGAGGCCGUGGAAGUCUCAGCUGAGGUGGUGGAGGCCACAGUAGAGGUCAUCGUAGUUGAACUCGAGCCUGUGGUGGUCCCUGAAGUGGAGGCUGAGGAUGUGGAGGUCUCUUGGGGGGUGGUGGAGGCAGAUGUGGAGGUCACAGUCGUGGAGGUGAGGUCUGCGGAGGUUCCUGGAGUAGAAGUGGAGGCAAUGGAGGUCUCAGCUGAGGUGGUGGAGGCCACAGUUGUGGUCAAAAGAGUGGAGGACAAAGCCGUGGAGGUCUCUGAGGAUGUGGUGGAGGCCGUUGUGGAGGUCUCCGGAGUGGAGGUGGAACCAGGGGAAGUUCCUGGAGUUGUACUGGAGGCCGUGGAGGUCUCUGGGGAGGUCGUAGAGGCCACAGUCGAGGUCAGGAUUGUUGAAGUGAGACCUGUGGAGGUCUCUGGAGUAGAGGUGGAGGCCGGGGAGGUCUCAGAUGAGGUUGUAGAGGCUCCUGUGGAGGUCAGUGGUGUGGAGGUGAGACCUGUGGAGGUGCCUGGAGAUAAUGAGGAUGCUGUGGAGGUCUCAGCUGAGGUGGUGGAGGCCACAGUCGAGGUCAUCGUAGCUGAAGUCGGGCCUGUGGUGGUCCCUGAAGUGGAGGCUGAGGACGUGGGAGUCUCUUGGGAGGUGGUGGAGGCAGAUGUGGAGGUCACAGUUGUGGAGGUGAAGCCUGUGGAGGUUCCUGGAGUAGAAGUGGAGGCCGUGGAGGUCUCGGCUGAGGUUGUGGAGGCCACAGUCAAGGUCAUCGUAGAUGGAGUUGGGCCUGUUGUAGUCCCAGAAGUGGAGGCCGAGGCCGUGGAGGUCUCAGGUGAGGUGGUGGAGGCAGAUGUGGAGGUCAGGGUUGUGGAGGUGAGGUCUGUGGAGGUUCCUGGAGUAGAAGUGGAGGCCGUGGAGGUCUCUAAGGACGUGGUGGAGGCCACAUUCGAGAUUUCAGUAGUAGAAGUGAGGGCUGUGGAGGUCCCAGAAGUGGAGGCCGAGGCCGUGGAGGUCUCUUGGGAGGUGGUGGAGGCCGUGGUGGAGGUCUCCGGAGUGGAGGUGGAACCAGGGGAAGUUCCUGGAGUUGUACUGGAGGCCACGGAGGUCUCUGAGGAGGUCGUAGAGGCUCCUGUGGAGGUCACUGGUGUGGAGGUGAGGCCCGUGGAGGUCCCUGGAGUUGUACCAGAGGCCAUGGAGGUCCCCAAAGUGGUGGUGAGGCUCAGGGAGGUCCCCAGAGACUCACUGGAGGUCCAAGUGGUGGUGGUGGAGGCUGUCGUGGAGGCCACUGUGGAGGUGAGGCCAGCAGAGCUCGUUAGGGUGGGGGUAGAGGCCCCCCCUCGGUGGCCUCCGCUCCCCCCCCCCGGGGGCCGNNNNNNNNNNCCCCCCACGGCCUCCCCACACCCAGCGAGGCUUCAGCCUCCACUCUUCCUCUUCCUCCUCCUGCUCCUCCUCCUCCUUGUCCUCCUCUUCCUUCUCAUCCUCCUCUUCCUCCUCCUCCUCCUCUUCCUUGUCCUGCUCUUCCUCCUCCUCUUCCUCCUCCUCCUCCUCUUCCUCCUCCUCCUCUUCCUUUUCCUCCUCCUUUUCCUCCUCCUCCUCCUCUUCCUCGUCUUCCUCCUCUUCCUUGUCCUCCUCCUUAUCCUCCUCCUCCUCCUCAUCCUACUCAUCGUCCUCCUCUUCCUCCUACGCCUCUCCCUCCUCCUCGUCCUCAUCCUCAUCUUCCUCAUUCUCCUCGUCCUCCUCAUCAUCAUCCUCCUCAUCCUCUUCCUCCUCCUCAUUUUCAUCCUCCUCUUCCUCGUCCUCGUCCUCCUCCUCCUCAUCAUCAUCCUCCUUGUCCUCCUCUUCUCGUCAUCCUCCUCAUCCUCAUUUUCAUCCUCCUCCCUGCCCUCCUCAUCCUCCUCCUCCUUGUCCUCGUCCUCCUCCUCCUCUUCAUCCUCCACAUCCUCCUCCUCCUCAUCCUCAUCCUCCUCAUUCUCCUUGUCCUCCUCCUCAUCAUCCUCAUCAUCAUCCUCCUUGUCCUCCUCUUUGUCCUCCUCCUCCUUCUCUUCCUCAUCCUCCUCAUUUUCCUCUUCAUCCUCCUCCUCCUCAUCAUCAUCCUCCUUGUCCUCCUCCUCCUCCUCCUCUUCGUCCUCCUCCUCCUCCUCACCCUCCUCAUCCUCCUUGUCCUCAUCCUCCUCAUUCUCCUCGUCUUCCUCCUCCACAUCCUCCUCCUCAUCAUCAUCCUUGUCCUCCUCCUCCUCUUCAUUCUCCUCCUUCUAUUAGUCCUCUCUUCAUCCUCCUCCUCAUCCUCCUCCUCAUCAUCCUCCUUGUCCUCGUCCUCAUCGUCCUCCUCGUCCUCCUCCUCUUCCUCAUCCUCGUCCUCCUCAUCCUCCUUGUCCUCAUCCUUGUCCUCACCCUCCUCCUUCUCCUCUUCAUCCUCCUCCUCCUCUUCGUCCUCUCUUCAUCUUCCUUAUCCUCAUUUUCAUCUUCCUCCCCGUCCUCCUCACCCUCAUCCACGUCCUCCUCUUCCUCCUCCUCCUCCUCCUCCUCCUCUUCGUCCUCUACAUCCUCCUCCACAUCCUCCUCUUCCCCUUCAUCCUCCUCCUCGUCCUCCUCACCCUCCUCCUCAUCCUCCUUGUCCUCCUCCUCCUCUUCAUCCUCCUCCUUCUCUUUGUCCUCUCUUCAUCCUCCUCAUCCUCAUUUUCAUCCUCCUCCUCCUCAUCAUCCUCCUUGUCCUCGUCCUCCUCUUCUUCUUCAUCCUCCUCAUCCUCUUCCUCCUCCUCGUCCUCAUCCUCCACCUCAUCAUCAUCAUCCUCAUCCUCUUCCUUGUCCUCGUCCUCCUCGUCCUCCUCGUCCUCCUCCUCCUCCUCCUCCUCUUCGUCCUCUACAUCCUCCUCCACAUCCUCCUCUUCCUCUUCAUCCUCCUCCUCGUCCACCUCAUCUUCCUCACCCUCCUCAUCCUCCUUGUCCUCGUCCUCCUCAUCCUCCUCAUCCUCAUCCUCCACCUCAUCAUCCUCCUCCUCAUCCUCUUCCUUGUCCACAUCCUCCUCCACAUCCUCCUCCACAUCCUCAUCCUCCUCAUCCUCCCCCCGUGUCCCCACGUCCCCAUUGUCCCCCCACG
rnacentral:lncRNA from 1 species